rnacentral:ncRNA from 1 species
CGGACCAUAAGGCAGGCAUUGCCUGUCGAAAUCGUCUGUAAUCCGGGCAAUACCACGCCAGUGGCAUGACGACCACUCAAUCGCCGCAAUCUUGUUUGCGGUAUCAAU